rnacentral:tRNA from 1 species
AUUUAUAUAGUAUAAGUGUAAGUAUAUUUAAUUUCCAAUUAAAUGGUUUAAUAGUUAAUAUAAAUA